AAAAGAAAUGUUGUGGUUAGUGAAGCAGAACGUACUGUUCACUAGUUCAGGUGCAACAUCCGUACAGGAAGUGUGGCCCUGCUGUGAGCAGGUGAGUGGGCAGCCUGUCAUCAUCACACAGGUAGCCAAGUUAAGGAGUGGCCCCGGCUGCUGGCGUCACAGCUCGUAAGUGAAUAAUCCCUGCAGGUAUGUCCGUUCAGUCCACAGCCCACGUACGACAAGGCGUGGGAGGUGGGAGGAGUCAACCUACUCACUGUAGGAAUUAUGGGGGAGGAUAAAGCCUUGAGUGUCACACCGGAAAGUCAUAAAAGGAGUUUUACCAGCUACACGGAUGCUCUGAAUUCUGGGUAUUUCCACUAUGGCCUGUCUUGUAGCAGUUAAACUUGCUGGAAAUGACCUAACUACUGCCAGGAAGAGGAAUGUGAAGCAUUCCCUGGAGCCGUUUGUGACGUCAGAGCGCAGAGGAGGCCCCUGUGCUUCCGCCAGCCUGGAUAUUCCAGAGUACACUCAACCCCAAACUCCCAACAGCUGGAGUCAACUGUUGCUGCCUCGCUCCAACUCCAAAACAAUCCCCAAAGACACACACAUGACCCCCCCCUGUGAGCCCCUCCGCUCCUUGUGUGAGGGACUGCUCUUCACAUCUGGGCUCUUGCUGUUCUCUCUAGUGUGAGCUGAGAAACUUAUGUUGAUACUUAAAGCCCCCCAAAUAAUUACAACUUUUGAAUUAUUUUUCAAUAUUCAAUGAACAUGUUAAUCUGCAGUCCUCCAGCAUGUCUACUAAGCAUUAUUCUGUGUGAUUUAGCAAACAGUGAGUCAGUCUUUUAUUGUGUAACAUGAUUUGUAACAGUGUUUUUUUUGUGUAGUUUUUGAUCAAGUGCCCAUAGAUGAUUAAGUUUAAAAUAGAAAAAUGACUGACAUUUAAAAAAGAUAUGCAACUCUAUCCAUCAGCCUGUGGUACUUUAGAGAUACAGAUAUAACAUGUAACUUGAAACUUCCAAUUACAGUUGAAUCAACAGAGAACAAAUAACAAUGAACCCUGA